GGAAGGUCAGUGACGGGCGGCAGUGGGAGGGAGCAGAGAGCCGGAGGUACCUGGAAGCACUGAUUCGUUUGGCAGUGGCAGAGGACUCAGGCCUGUGAGGGACCCCUGCCUGGUCCUUGGAGGGCUCUGCAGAGAUUCCCAGACUGCAUUGUCAGCAAAUGCAGAAUGCUACCCACGAACUGCCAGGAGCCAGGGUCUGUGCCCGAAUGCAGACCGGCAUGCACUGGCCAGCUAGGCAUUUUGCUGGGUUUGCGGCAGGAGGAAACAAAUCUUGUUCGGUCCCAUUCGCUUUGCUUGCAUGCAGCUCACCAGAAAGAAGGUUUUUAUCAAUGCUGUCGUCUUAUGCCGAGUGAACCCAGAGGCUGACAUCUGGUGGGCUGGGGCAGAGGAAGGGAGUGUUGCACAAAACUCUUGGGUUUUCUGCCUGUUUUCUCAGCCUGCCACACCUGUGAGACUCAUGAUCUUCUGCAACUUUAGUCAUAGGCAAAACUUUACUCUUUCCAUUCGCAGAGAAGACAGCAAACUCUCCCCUGCCCCGUUCUGCGAGAGACCCACAACUCUUUGCCCCAGCUGAAACGGUUUCAUGUUUACUGCAUGCCCAGCGAGCAUGGUGCAGAGGCCUGGAACUCCGGACGGUACAGGUGCUUGUGAGUCAGCGUCGGCUGCCGCGCGGGAGCUGCAUGGGAACAAUGCCCGACUCACAAAGCUCCCUUUAUGCUGCCGCUUCCCACCAUUUCUGGUUUGCUGAGAUAAGUAUCUGGACUAUCUGGUUACAGCUCAGGCUGUUAGGCUUUCAGAAUUGAGCUGAAUACAGUGGUGGGGGGAAUUUUUCUUCAAGGCUAAAUGGUUUGCGCGGGGGGGGGGGUGAGUUGCAAGAUAAUAGUUUAAUUAUGAAUGGCUUGUGUUUUUCACCCUGUUGCUUUGCUUAAGCUGGUAGCAAUAUCUGAAGAUGAGGGAAAAUCCAUUUGUUGAGCCUUUGCUCCAGCACAUACAAAAGGUGGGUUUGUUCCAGAGACUCAGAAUGUGAGAGAGAAGGAACACUAGGAGAGCAUACAAAGUGGGGCUCUUAAGCCGCUAUUAACAAAGGAGGCACAAGGCUACCCCCAGCCGGUUACCUUGUGAUAAUUGUGUGUAGCAGUUCCUGCUGGGAUGGGGAGCAGGAAGGAGCCUAGAUGCCGUGGUGGGAGGUGCAGUAGACAGGAGAUAGCUAGACGGAGCAGACGGGUUCAGAGCACGUUGGGGCGAAGGGGAGAGAACAGAAUGAAAAGAGGAGACAGCAGCUGUGGAAUGAGGCAGAAACCUUGGUUCCACAGGCGGGGGGUUUGGCUGGAGAGUGGUGUGUGUCCCCUUGGCUCCUCAUGUCCUGCCCCGCGUGGAGUCAUUUACACCUAGGCAGAGUGGGUGUGAACUACGGCUGUUCUGGGUUGGCGGCAUGUCACCCCACUCGGUGCUUGCUCUGCAUGGGUUUAAAUGGCGACCCAGGAUGCAGGCCAGAGCCAGGCCCUGGUGCCUCUCUUUUCUAACACACCCUUUGUCAAAUCAUUUCAGAAAACAACAGAAAGUCUCCCCACUGCUCCCUGAUCGCAGCAGCUGGUGGCCAGACACGGAGGGAAGGGAAACAUGCAGGAAGGAUUUCAGAGUAGCAGCCGUGUUAGUCUGUCUUUGCAAAAAGAAAAGGAGGACUUGUGGCACCUUAGAGACUAACCAAUUUAUUUGAGCAUGAGCUUUCGUGAGCUACAGCUCACUUCAUCGGAUCCAGGAAGGAGUUCAGCAUAACAGCACUUAAGGAAAAUACUGUAAACCCCUCUUGAAAUACCCAUCAAACACAAUUAGCAGGGCACUGAUAUACCUAAACAACUGGCAUGUGUCUCCUUUUAUGCUUUGCUGGAUACCUUCCAAGCUGAUAAUUACACUGUGCUGGGUUUCGAGAUGAGUGGCUGCGAGUGUCUCUUCUGGAAGGGGUUCAGGAACGGAUAGCCUAGCAAUGCAGACCCUGCACUUCUCAGUAUAGCUGUCCUUUGUGGCUGGACCCUCCUGGGGACUUUUCCAGGGAUGGAGCCUCCUGUUCAGUGGCUGGACCAGCUGUACGUGUGUGUCGGGACUGCUGCCAGCAGGAUUUCGUCUGGACCCACAUGCCGGUAGGAUGCUGUUCCACCAGGUGAGACCAGAGGGAGCCUUCUCUGGGCAAGAUGGCAGCAGCUGGAAGCCACUGAAGCUGCAGCUCUAAUAUGGACUUGGCCAUAGCUCCAAAGCAGUGAGAUCACAAAUAACAAUGCAAUUGAUGGGGUGAAGUAACCCUGUGUGAGAUCAUGACUGUCCCUAACGCGCUCCAGGCUCAGCGUCAGGGCUGCACUGGGCAAGGGGCAGGGAGCAUGCUGUGAACUGGAGCAAAGGCUCCAGGAUUCUCACUCCUCUCUCGUAGCGCGCGUGUGAUGUCCUGACCUGCAGAACUGUCCUUGGUGGGGGCAGCCUGGUGCCCUUGCUCACAAAUAGCGUGUUUCCUGGCUUGUACCUCUACGUGGCGGGGCGACUGAUUGCCUUUGGGCUGGUGGAGAGCUCAUGGUGCCUUUGCUUGUGGAGUGGCCUGGCUCACUCCCUGGGGUUCUGGGAGCGGAUGGUCAGGUUUGGGCUCUGAUCCAGCCCCUAGCAGUGGCAAAAAUCUUGUGUGGUGGGUGAGUGCUGAGCUUGUGUAGAGUGGCGCACCCCAGCACCUGCUUUAUUGCAGAGGUCCCUGCAGCUAGGGGUGCAAGGAAUAAACGUCUGUCAGACAGGAGCCAAUGAAUCGCCGUCGGGAGCGCCUCUGCUGUGGCUUCUUGUGCCUGCUCAUGCCGGUGCAUGAUGCUUGGGAGGAAGGAGCGUCACCUGCUAGUGCUCCAGGCUAUGGAUGUGGGCUUCCUUCCUGAUAACCGGAGGCAGGCAGUUUGUGGCCUGAAGCAUGAAGGCUAAUAAAAGCCCGCGGAACAUGCGCGCCUGCUCAGCGUAGCGGUUUCUCUGAGACACAGCAAGUGUCUCCUCCCUAGACUCUUUCAAUCCUUCCAAACAGUUUGUCUCCAUGAAUCCCUUGCAGUGACUACGUGCUGCUGCAAGGACGUCCCCUUUGUGCUGCAGACAAUGUUGUCGGCGCAUCCUCGUCGCUUGCUGCCUUUCUAUGGCUCGUUUGGCUCUUGCAGCUCCAAGACCCCCAUCCAUUAUUCCUCCCACAUCCUAUUAUCUCCUUCUUCCAUUCUCUGAAGGCUGGAAGCUGCAGAGUUCAGCUGUGAGCUGUGGAUGCCGUCUGAGUGCGGUGUCUCAUCUUGCACAUUUGGGUGAAGAGACCUGCAGAUGUCACCUGCCUCUGAACGGCCUGUAACGAUGUGCUGCACAGUACUCCAUGUUGCUCCGGGGCUGCCCAUGGAGCACGGACAUCUUCCCUGCGAGUCACACACAUGCCGCAUCCCGAAUCUCAAGAAGAGCGCUGGAAACCUGCCGGGAGCCUGUGCUUUCGAGAGCCUCAGACCCGUCUGAUAGGUCCAAGUAGUGGCGUGACUUUGGAUGCUUCUGUGCACCCAGUCUCCAGAAACUUUGGGGGCUUGCUCAGCACUCCUGGUCCCCAGGGAUUCCUCAAUCCACAGAACAUUGAGAAGCCUCCGAUGAUUCUCUGUGACCUCAGAGGCGAAAGCACUCAAGUUGCCCUUGAAGACAAAAAGAGAAAGUCUUGUCUGAGGUGAAGUCAGUAUCUAUCCAAUUUUCAGCUGCCGUCACAUCGAAAUGAGAAAUCUGAGGCAGAGCCAGGCACAAAUGGCUGAUAACAGACUUUCAGGUGAACCUCUUCACUUAUCACUUCGGGGGUCACCUCUGUUUCUAAAGACUUGUUUUCCUUAAAAAAAAGAUUGCUUAGGACAUUUAACAGUGUGGCGUUGUGAUAACAGAACCCAGCAAGGCUUUCGUUUGCUGUCUGGGCUUCUGCAGAGCUACAGGCUCCUAAUGCCGCAACCCCAGAAUUUGUUUCUAAAAUUACCUCAUGAACUGAAUCACCAAAAGUUGAAAAAUAUAAAAUUCUCUCUGUGGGGUUUUUCCUGUCCUUCCCCUUGUGUGGGCAUGCCAGGCCAGGGAAGCCACUCUGGCUCUGCCAGACAGGAGGAGAAGUGGCAUACAGAGAUUUGGAUGGGCCCAAUAGGGGUAAGCAAAUGGCCAAUGGAUCCUUGUACUAAUGAAUUCCCUUGCCGAAAAUCGAGGCUGAGCUGGGCCACAGCUGCCACUGAGGUCUGGAGUCUGCAUCUGCCGCAGCCACGCAGUGGCUUUUGGGGGAAAACUCAGAGUGGCUGCUCCCUCCUUGGCUCCAGGUCUGGGGUCAGGGUCCACCCAUCUCCACCCCACCCUUCCCCCGUUGCUCCCCCAUUUGGGAUGAGACUGUUGUCCUCAAGAGGGCCAGAAGCAGAGAUGGGAAAGGGGAAAAAGCGUGAUGACAUGGCUGUGAGGUGAUUUGUUUUGGAACAGGGCACUCGGCGCAUGCACAGACGGGCGCACAGAUUUGUUUAGCAAACAGUAACCUGUGUUUUGU